CCACGUCACUGUCUCUCUACCUCCUCUCCUCUCUCUGUCUAUGUAUCUGUCUGUCUUUUAGGGGACUGCUGAAAUUCCAGGUCUGAAGGGGGCUCCAGGUGGCACAGUAAGAUAGUAUAUAAUUAUUAUCUUGUUUAUUAAACAGGAGUGACAUUUUUAGAGAGGAGUGAGGCUCUAUUCUAUGAAUCCUAUCUGAGCAGAUCUGACUUUUCCUAUAGGGCUUCAGAGGACUAGAUGGAGACAAAGGAGAUGCUGGACCCAAAGGAGACAGGGGUUCUGUUGGUGCGUCAGGGAUCCUAGGCCGUCAGGGUGAGAGGGGUCAGAGUGGCCUCUCAGGCCUUCCUGGUGUCAGAGGUCAAGCUGGCCCCCAAGACAUUCCGGUAAACAUCAGGGUGACACCUGCUAUUCACAGCCUUUAUUAACAUACAUUAAUAACACUCUCCCCAUCUUCCUACUGUACCUCUUCUGCCGUUACAUACUGAUACAUGAUUCUUUUAAAAUGUAUGAAGGAUUAUGUUGGAUACCUGUAGUUUGUGUUUAUGAAAUGGCACAGCUCAUUUGAACCUUUGAUGAGAGAGGCUCUGAUCCCUUUCUCUCCCAUGCAGGGUGAAGACGGAGAGGUCGGCCUCCAGGGAGUGGUUGGAAAGGAGGGGUCAAAGGGCCACAGGGGAACUCCAGGCCAUAAUGGGAAAUCAGGACCUAAAGGACCCAGGGGUCGUACUGGACAGCCUGGUCUUUUUGGUAUACCUGGAAUCCCGGGUUUUAGAGGCCUCAUUGGGACUGAGGGUGCAGAAGGAAAGCCUGGUACACAGGUUCCCAUUUUAUAACUUUUAAUUUUUUUAAUAUCACUUAUUAGGAUUUUCUACUGACUCCUUAUUGUCUACUGUGCAUUGUCAAUGCAGUUCCUUGAACAGGUACUAACCCAACUAUUUCAAUCAUUAUUGAUAAGUAGGUUUCAGGAUAAGUUCUGUGUACAGAUAGAUAGAUAGAUAGAUAGAUAGAUAGAUAGAUAGAUAGAUAGAUAGAUAGAUAGAUAGAUAGAUAGAUAGAUAGAUAGAUAGAUAGAUAGAUAGAUAGAUAGAUAGAUAGAUAGAUAGAUAGAUAGAUAGAUAGAUAGAUAGAUAGAUAGAUAGAUAGAUAGAUAGAUAGAUAGAUAGAUAGAUAGAUAGAUAGAUAGAUAGUAGGAUCUUAAUUUGAUCAUUCUUUUGUUGCAGAGAACUUUCCUGCACAACAGGAAAUGCAAAUUGUGGUGUAUUUGAGUUUUAAAAUGUCCACUUUGAAAUGUCAGACUUGAUUUGCCACUACAAAAAUGUCCAUGAAUUAUAAUCCACAUAAUAAUUCAAAUUUCCUUUUGCUGCAGGAUUAUUUUCCUGCUGUAGAAAACUGACUCAAAUUAAGAUCCUACAUCUGUACAGAAAAUAAAUGUAUGGCAUGAUAAAAACAAUAUGUGUAAUGUUUGUUGUUGUGUGUGAUUGUAGGGUGAGCUUGGUUCUGCUGGUAUUCCUGGAACUAAAGGACACAGAGUAAGUCACACCCCUUUAACCAAUCAGCUCUAAACAAGUAAAAGUCAACAGUAAAAAGAACAGAAACACAAAUGGCUCAAUCAUUGCUGCACUCUCAUAAACCACAGCAAUAAAGAGAGGUGUGAUUGGUUGCUUAUCAGAUGAUCCUCCUUAGACACAGACAUAACUGCCUGCCUGUGGGCCUGUGGUGGCUAUUGCUGUCACAGCUCUCCUGUUUAUAUGAGCACCUACAUGUCAGACAGACAAGACUAGAUAGUGUACCAGUAAAGAGGUUUACAAGAUACACAAGAGGUUUACCUGAUCAUCCCCAGGGGUUUGUAGGAUCAGUCAGUCAGUGUCUUUGUAAGACACAUUCAGCAUGGCACAGCCAGGGAUGAUCUGAGGUCCUCAACACUGCU
rnacentral:lncRNA from 8 species